AUUGAACGCUGGCGGCAUGCCUUACACAUGCAAGUCGAACGGUAACAGGCCGCAAGGUGCUGACGAGUGGCGAACGGGUGAGUAAUGCAUCGGAACGUGCCCAGUCGUGGGGGAUAACGCAGCGAAAGCUGCGCUAAUACCGCAUACGAUCUAUGGAUGAAAGCGGGGGACCGUAAGGCCUCGCGCGAUUGGAGCGGCCGAUGUCAGAUUAGGUAGUUGGUGGGGUAAAGGCUCAACAAGCCAACGAUCUGUAGCUGGUCUGAGAGGACGACCAGCCACACUGGGACUGAGACACGGCCCAGACUCCUACGGGAGGCAGCAGUGGGGAAUUUGGACAAUGGGCGCAAGCCUGAUCCAGCUAUGCCGCGUGCAGGAAGAAGGCCUUCGGGUUGUAAACUGCUUUUGUACGGAACGAAAAGGCUCUGGUUAAUACCUGGGGCUCAUGACGGUACCGUAAGAAUAAGCACCGGCUAACUACGUGCCAGCCGCCGCCGCGGUAA
rnacentral:rRNA from 1 species